rnacentral:snoRNA from 1 species
AUCCCAUGGUGAGGGCAAGCCAAGAGAUACUCUUGGAAGUGCUCCCACGCUUCACUAAUCAUCUCGUCUGAUGUCUGCUGGAAGUUCAAAAUUCUUCCACGAAGGGC